CACCACAACUAAAGUAUCUAAUUUUUUUGAAAGUUGAAAUAUUUUUUCUUAAUGCUUCUUUCACUACCAACCAAAUUGUAGUGAAAUGAUUUGUCUUAAUAAUUUUUUUUUCUUUUUCUUAAACUAUUAUCUGUUUAGAAACUAUUGGUUCGACAUGAUGACUAUCUAAAAUUCAUAACAUGAAAAUAAAUAAAUAAUAUUAAUUUUUGUUUUACCGAAAAAACAAAAAAAUCAAACAUUUUAACCGAAUAAACUAAAAUGAAUAUUAAUUUAAAAUAAUAAUUAUAUUUUAGAAGAUUAAAAACAAAACAAAAAACCGAAAAUCGAACAAAUAUCCAGAUUAAACAGAUUUAAUGUAUUUUUAUUAAAAAUAACAAAACUAAUAAUCACAUCCCG
rnacentral:lncRNA from 1 species